ACGGACCGGUAUUAGGAGUAACGCGGGGAUGCGAAAGAAAUCUUUCUCCCAUGCAUAGUCUCCUUGUUCGACAAGACUCUCUACAAAAAAAACCUUGCAGAGAAAUUUUGAAGAAGACGACAUAGGAGAAUUAUUUUUCGUGGAGAAGUUGGGAGAGAAUCUAGGGUUACACGAUUCCAAGCCAGCAUCCGUUCUUCGUUUGAGAAGGGGAAAGAAACUAGAAGGGGGAAAUUUCUAGGCAAUAUCCAAGCCACUACCGAACUUGGUCGUUCCAACAGGAGAAGAGAAUGUAAAUAAUGGAAGUGCAAGUGCUAGUGAGAUUUUGGCUGGGGCUUUGCAUGACAAUGACAGAGCAAAUCCUUGUGGGGCACAAAACCUUUGGGAAAGGAAAAAUUCAGAAUUCAAGGAGAUGGCAUUGCUGAUAGCCAAGGUUCUACUCGGUGAAUCUCUCUCAAGUCAACUACAUUCAGGUCCUCCAACACUUGUACUUGACAUGGACAUGGCUAUUCACACCCAUUAAGUGACUUAACACUCAAUAUCAAUAGAACUUUAAGAGAGUUUGAGCUUGCGUGGCUAUAUAUUCACUCCCCGCAUGGAAACCUCUUUCUCUAUGAUUAUAUGGAAAAUGGACAUUGUAUUCUCGAGAAUUUGAUUUGUUUAAU